CCUACGGGGUGCUGCAGUCGAGAAUCAUUCACAAUGGGGGAAACCCUGAUGGUGCGACGCCGCGUGGGGGAAUGAAGGUCUUCGGAUUGUAAACCCCUGUCAUGUGGGAGCAAAUUAAAAAGAUAGUACCACAAGAGGAAGAGACGGCUAACUCUGUGCCAGCAGCCGCGGUAAUACAGAGGUCUCAAGCGUUGUUCGGAAUAACUGGGCGUAACGCGUGCGUAGGCUGUUUCGUAAGUCGUGUGUGAAAGGCGCGGGCUCAACCCGCGGACGGCACAUGAUAGUGCGAGACUAGAGUAAUGGAGGGGGAACCGGAAUUCUCGGUGUAGCAGUGAAAUGCGUAGAUAUCGAGAGGAACACUCGUGGCGAAGGCGGGUUCCUGGACAUUAACUGACGCUGAGGCACGAAGGCCAGGGGAGCGAAAGGGAUUAGAUACCCUGUAGUC
rnacentral:rRNA from 1 species